CUGUGUGUUGUUGGGUAGGGGAGCGUUCUGUAAGCCUGUGAAGGUGUGUCGUGAGGCAUGCUGGAGGUAUCAGAAGUGCGAAUGCUGACAUAAGUAACGAUAAAGCGGGUGAAAAGCCCGCUCGCCGGAAGACCAAGGGUUCCUGUCCAACGUUAAUCGGGGCAGGGUGAGUCGACCCCUAAGGCGAGGCCGAAAGGCGUAGUCGAUGGGAAACGGGUUAAUAUUCCCGUACUUGGUGUUACUGCGAAGGGGGGACGGAGAAGGCUAUGUUGGCCGGGCGACGGUUGUCCCGGUUUAAGCGUGUAGGCUGGUUUUCCAGGCAAAUCCGGAAAAUCAAGGCUGAGGCGUGAUGACGAGGCACUACGGUGCUGAAGCAACAAAUGCCCUGCUUCCAGGAAAAGCCUCUAAGCAUCAGGUAACAUCAAAUCGUACCCCAAACCGACACAGGUGGUCAGGUAGAGAAUACCAAGGCGCUUGAGAGAACUCGGGUGAAGGAACUAGGCAAAAUGGUGCCGUAACUUCGGGAGAAGGCACGCUGACACGUAGGUGAAGUGAUUUACUCAUGGAGCUGAAGUCAGUCGAAGAUACCAGCUGGCUGCAACUGUUUAUUAAAAACACAGCACUGUGCAAACACGAAAGUGGACGUAUACGGUGUGACGCCUGCCCGGUGCCGGAAGGUUAAUUGAUGGGGUCAGCGCAAGCGAAGCUCCUGAUCGAAGCCCCGGUAAACGGCGGCCGUAACUAUAACGGUCCUAAGGUAGCGAAAUUCCUUGUCGGGUAAGUUCCGACCUGCACGAAUGGCGUAAUGAUGGCCAGGCUGUCUCCACCCGAGACUCAGUGAAAUUGAACUCGCUGUGAAGAUGCAGUGUACCCGCGGCAAGACGGAAAGACCCCGUGAACCUUUACUAUAGCUUGACACUGAACAUUGAGCCUUGAUGUGUAGGAUAGGUGGGAGGCUUUGAAGUGUGGACGCCAGUCUGCAUGGAGCCGACCUUGAAAUACCACCCUUUAAUGUUUGAUGUUCUAACGUGGACCCGUUACCCGGGUUGCGGACAGUGUCUGGUGGGUAGUUUGACUGGGGCGGUCUCCUCCUAAAGAGUAACGGAGGAGCACGAAGGUUGGCUAAUCCUGGUCGGACAUCAGGAGGUUAGUGCAAUGGCAUAAGCCAGCUUGACUGCGAGCGUGACGGCGCGAGCAGGUGCGAAAGCAGGUCAUAGUGAUCCGGUGGUUCUGAAUGGAAGGGCCAUCGCUCAACGGAUAAAAGGUACUCCGGGGAUAACAGGCUGAUACCGCCCAAGAGUUCAUAUCGACGGCGGUGUUUGGCACCUCGAUGUCGGCUCAUCACAUCCUGGGGCUGAAGUAGGUCCCAAGGGUAUGGCUGUUCGCCAUUUAAAGUGGUACGCGAGCUGGGUUUAGAACGUCGUGAGACAGUUCGGUCCCUAUCUGCCGUGGGCGCUGGAGAACUGAGGGGGGCUGCUCCUAGUACGAGAGGACCGGAGUGGACGCAUCACUGGUGUUCGGGUUGUCAUGCCAAUGGCACUGCCCGGUAGCUAAAUGCGGAAGAGAUAAGUGCUGAAAGCAUCUAAGCACGAAACUUGCCCCGAGAUGAGUUCUCCCUGAGACUUAGAGUCUCCUGAAGGAACGUUGAAGACGACGACGUUGAUAGGCCGGGUGUGUAAGCGCAGCGAUGCGUUGAGCUAACCGGUACUAAUGAACCGUGAGGCUUAACCUU
rnacentral:rRNA from 1 species